AAAUCGGCUUCCCGUCCGAUCAGCCAUGAUAAUCAUCUAAUCGCUACACUAGUACUCAAGUUGGUGACAAUUGGGGAAUCCGUAGUGUUGUAUGUU
rfam:Zymoseptoria brevis strain Zb18110 contig4139, whole genome shotgun sequence.